rnacentral:rRNA from 1 species
UACAGAGGUGGCAAGCGUUGUUCGGAAUUACUGGGCGUAAAGGGUGCGUAGGCGGCGCGGUAAGUCGGGUGUGAAAUCUCGGAGCUUAACUCCGAAACUGCAUUCGAUACUGCCGUGCUUGAGGACUGGAGAGGAGACUGGAAUUCACGGUGUAGCAGUGAAAUGCGUAGAUAUCGUGAGGAACACCAGAGACGAAGGCGGCUACCUGGACAAUUGCUGACGCUCAGGCACGAAAGCGUGGGGAGCAAAAGGG